GGGUUUAAGACUUAACUGUUUGCUUAUUUAUGCAGGCAGAAACUCUCCCUGGGGUGUCUUGAAUGUGUGCAAUGAGCAUGAACACUGGAUUUGGAUCAGUGAGCUGAGAGAUGUGGACCAUCACACUUGGCCGGAUGAGUCCCUGUGGGUUGUGGACCUGGGAGGAGCUGUGAACGCUGUUCAUUCUAGAAGACUCUUAAUAGAUUUUCUCCCUUGCUGGCUUUGAUGAAGUAAGCUCUUAUAUGGAGAGUCCCAUGUGGAAGGAAUUAAGGGUGACCUCUUCCAAACAGUCAACAAGGAACUGAGUCCUAUCAACAGCCAUGUGAACUUGGAAACAGAUCCUACCCCGACGAGAUUCAGGUAAGAUCCCAGCCCUGACAGACAAGCUGAUUGCAGCUUUAUGAAUGACACU
rnacentral:lncRNA from 1 species